ACUAGCUGAUAUGGAGACAUGCCGCUUGCGGAGUGAAAAUUGGUGUUAUACCACCAUUCGGCUAAGGGUAACCAUUUACUCCAUAAGUGCGGUCUUUGGCUAAUCAUGCAUCUCAAGAAGAAGUUUAUUAUUAGGAGAAAGAGACUUGCUUAUGAAUGCUAUGGGUUGCCGUUUCUGAAU